UACAGAGGUCCCAAGCGUUGUUCGGAUUCACUGGGCGUAAAGGGCGCGUAGGCGGCCUGGUAAGUAGGAGGUGAAAUCCUGCGGCUUAACCGCAGGGCUGCCUUCUAAACUGUCAGGCUCGAGCACAGUAGAGGCAGGUGGAAUUCCCGGUGUAGCGGUGGAAUGCGUAGAGAUCGGGAAGAACACCGGUGGCGAAGGCGGCUCUCUGGGCCUUACCUGGACGCUGAGGAGCGAAAGCGUGGGUAGCGAACAAGG
rnacentral:rRNA from 1 species